rnacentral:rRNA from 1 species
GACGAACGCUGGCGGCGUGCUUAACACUUGCAAGUCGAACGGAAAGGCCCUGCUUUUGUGGGGUGCUCGAGUGGCGAACGGGUGAGUAACACGUGAGUAACCUGCCCUUGACUUUGGGAUAACUUCAGGAAACUGGGGCUAAUACCGGAUAGGAGCUCCUGCUGCAUGGUGGGGGUUGGAAAGUUUCGGCGGUUGGGGAUGGACUCGCGGCUUAUCAGCCUGUUGGUGGGGUAGUGGCUUACCAAGGCUUUGACGGGUAGCCGGCCUGAGAGGGUGACCGGCCACAUUGGGACUGAGAUACGGCCCAGACUCCUACGGGAGGCAGCAGUGGGGAAUAUUGCACAAUGGGCGGAAGCCUGAUGCAGCAACGCCGCGUGCGGGAUGACGGCCUUCGGGUUGUAAACCGCUUUCGCCUGUGACGAAGCGUGAGUGACGGUAAUGGGUAAAGAAGCACCGGCUAACUACGUG